rnacentral:rRNA from 1 species
CCUACGGAGUGCAGCAGUGGGGAAUAUUGCACAAUGGGGGAAACCCUGAUGCAGCGACGCCGCGUGAGUGAAGAAGUAAUUCGUUAUGUAAAGCUCUAUCAGCAGGGAAGAAAAUGACGGUACCUGAGUAAGAAGCCCCGGCUAACUACGUGCCAGCAGCCGCGGUAAAACGUAGGGGGCAAGCGUUAUCCGGAUUUACUGGGUGUAAAGGGAGCGUAGACGGCAGUGCAAGUCUGGAGUUAAAGGCGGGGGCUCAACCCCCGGACUGCUCUGGAAACUGUACGGCUAGAGUGCAGGAGAGGUAAGUGGAAUUCCUAGUGUAGCGGUGAAAUGCGUAGAUAUUAGGAGGAACACCAGUGGCGAAGGCGGCUUACUGGACUGUAACUGACGUUGAGGCUCGAAAGCGUGGGGAGCAAACAGGAUUAGAUACCCUUGUAGUC